CGCAGUAUAGUUUAAUUAAAAAUAUUUAUUUUACACGUAAAUGAUUCUUUUGUGGAUUCUGCGA
rnacentral:tRNA from 1 species